AUUGAACGCUGGCGGCAGGCCUAACACAUGCAAGUCGAACGAGUGGCGGACGGGUGAGUAAUGUCUGGGAAACUGCCUGAUGGAGGGGGAUAACUACUGGAAACGGUAGCUACUACCGCAUACCAUCGGAUGUGCCCAGAUUGGAUUAGCUAGUAGGUGGGGUAAAGGCUCAUCUAGGCGACGAUCACUAGCUGGGCUGAGAGGCUGACCAACCACACUGGAACGGAGAAAUGGUCCAGACGCGUAGGGGAGGCAGCGGUGGGGAAUAUUGCACAAGGGGCGCAAGCCUGAUGAAGCCAUGCCGCGUGUAUGAAGAAGGCCUUCGGGUGGUAAAGUACGUUCAGCGGGGAGGCGUUACCCGCAGAAGAAGCACCGGCUAACUACGUGCCAGCAGCCGCGGUAAUAC
rnacentral:rRNA from 1 species